AUGAACGCUGGCGGCGUGCCUAAUACAUGCAAGUCGAGCGAACGGACGAGAAGCUUGCUUCUCUGAUGUUAGCGGCGGACGGGUGAGUAACACGUGGAUAACCUACCUAUAAGACUGGGAUAACUUCGGGAAACCGGAGCUAAUACCGGAUGAUAUUUUGAACCGCAUGGUUCAAAAGUGAAAGACGGUCUUGCUGUCACUUAUAGAUGGAUCCGCGCUGCAUUAGCUAGUUGGUAAGGUAACGGCUUACCAAGGCAGCGAUGCAUAGCCGACCUGAGAGGGUGAUCGGCCACACUGGAACUGAGACACGGUCCAGACUCCUACGGGAGGCAGCAGUAGGGAAUCUUCCGCAAUGGGCGAAAGCCUGACGGAGCAACGCCGCGUGAGUGAUGAAGGUCUUCGGAUCGUAAAACUCUGUUAUUAGGGAAGAACAUAUGUGUAAGUAACUGUGCACAUCUUGACGGUACCUAAUCAGAAAGCCACGGCUAACUACGUG
rnacentral:rRNA from 1 species